UUCAUGGACUUUUUUUUUUUUUCCUUAGGGGGAAUGGGGAGUGCAUGAGAAUGACAUGAGCAUAAAUACAACCUGCGCACUCUAUCAGUGGGACCGGAAAGCUCGCUGGUGUGUUUGGUAAUUUUUCUCUCUCCUCUCCUGAUGAUUGACAGCCGCUCGUUUUGAUUUCUUCGCUGCUUGGUGGUGUAGACGCACGCUGCACGUCUUCCUGUUCGCCGACUUCAUGCUGCUGGAAGAACACAUGCUUAAGGGGCAACAUGUGCCCUCUUUGGAAAGUUGUUCCAGGUAGUCAACACCUUACAGGUGCAGCUCAAACCUGCAGUUUCUCCCUCCACCUUCUAUCCUUUUGCUCUCAGGGGGAAUGCUUAUUUGUGUAGCAUGUUCAAGCUCUGCCCUGACACUGGGAUUCAACAAUCAACACAGUUAAUUCUGUAAACACCAGGCUUCAGCAGUUGGUCACUGACAAUGCGGCAUCAAUGGCUCUGAAAUUGCCUUCGCUGCCUAAGUAAAUGGGGAGAAUGGGCCUAUAAUGGACACGAGGACGAGGAGUCAUUUGAAUCGCCUGCUGAUCACACCGCCCACCCAUUGAAGAUGGAGGGAGGGUUUUAUUGGGUGUUGUUUUAUCAGGUGCGAAUAAAGCAUCAGCGUUAAAAUUACAGGCCUACAAUCUCCAUCUGCAUUAAAGUAAAAAAGAGUGUGCCUUCACACAUGUAGGUGCUCUGUUAAUUUGCAUAUUUAGAAUUAUUUGCAUAUUCAAAAGGGAGACAUUAGAUUGAGCAGUGCAAUCUAACUUUUUUUUUCUUUUUUGAGGGUUGGGUCAGCUGCUCUAAUCAUUUUGCUGUGCACAGUUAACUCUCAUUAGCCUGGCCGUCUCUUUCAGGCCUUGACUGAAUGUGUUCCAUCUGAGCAGAUGCUGCAUGAAGAGUCUACUUGUUUAUUUAUUUCCAGGAAGUUUCAGUGUGAAGUGUUUGCAAGCCAGCCUUUCCAAAGAAUGCUCCACAUCUGAGUAUCAGCCACAGCAGUGUAUGCGAAUCUGAAUGAACUUGUUUACAUCCCCAACAUCCUGUCCCAAGCAGCGUUUACAACACUGUUAAUCUGUUGCCAAACUUAUAAAGGAGAUUGAAGUCAUUCAGCACAGUUGGUUGCCAUGGCCUGUGACUGCAGAGGCUUUCUAAAUCCAGUCUUCCCCAGGCAGCCAGUGAAACAUCAGGGGUGACCUCGAGCCAGCCUCUCUUUCCACGGCCAUAAUGAAGACUUUGGCGUUUAGGGAGCUUUUGGCUCAGUAAGCUAAGAGGUGGAGGAAAUUCAUGCAAAGUCUUAUUGAACAAUGAAAACACAAUAAGUAUCUCUCCACUGACUCAUGGGGAGGCCAAUUGCCAAGUUUAAGAAAAG